AAUACUAAGAUACUCCAACAACUUCAAAUGCUGGAACAGAGACAAGCUGUCAUCAUGAAUGACUUGGCAAAAGUUAAGUCUGUUCUCAUGAAGCGGGCAGAAGAAGAUGCCCAUGAGGAACUUUUUAAACAACAACAGUGCUCCAGCUUUGAAACGUUUGAAGCCUUCUUAUCGAGAGCUUUAUGUACACUAUCUCAUCCAUACUCACGGCAGCUCCAAUAUAGGUGAGAUGGUGAGACAGGCUUUAAAAAGCAUAGCGUCAGACAAUGUUCUCUGUCUGUAUAACAGAACGGGGAAAGAUGGGAAGAAGGUGUUGGCACCUGUGCUCCUGACAUGUUUGAAAAAAUGUGUCAGGUCUUUUCACAAACAAAAUGAAAUAGAGGUGAAGAAGCUAAAAGUAACCACCAGAACAACACCAGACGCGGAAUGUAUUUGCCAAGUAGAAUUUUUUUUGUCCAACACCAACACCAGGCUGACA